AACGAACGCUGGCGGCAUGCCUAACACAUGCAAGUCGAACGAGACCUUCGGGUCUAGUGGCGCACGGGUGCGUAACGCGUGGGAACCUGCCCUUAGGUUCGGAAUAACUCCCCGAAAGGGGUACUAAUACCGGAUAAUGUCUUCGGACCAAAGAUUUAUCGCCUUUGGAUGGGCCCGCGUUGGAUUAGCUAGUUGGUAGGGUAAAAGCCUACCAAGGCGACGAUCCAUAGCUGGUCUGAGAGGAUGAUCAGCCACACUGGGACUGGGACACGGCCCAGACUCCUACGGGAGGCAGCAGUGGGGAAUAUGGGACAAUGGGCGAAAGCCUGAGCCAGCAAUGCCGCGUGAGUGAUGAAGGCCUUAGGGUUGUAAAGCUCUUUUACCCGGGAUGAUAAUGACAGUACCGGGAGAAUAAGCACCGGCUAACUCCGU
rnacentral:rRNA from 1 species